UGUAUUCAUUUUAUAAAAUCAAGAUGAUUUAGGGCUUUUUUUUGCCCGUUUUCAUUCGUUGAUCAGGUAAAGGAAAAGAACGAACGAAGCGAUGAGGGAAAAUACGACGAACACGAAGGAACGAGACUGAUACAGACGAUCGGUGAUGGCGAGAAAUCAUAAAGGCGCGCAGGCUGCUACUCCGGACGUUUUGUUCGAUCGAUUGCGAAGAGGGAGGCGUCUCCGGGGUCCAGGAGACCGAAGCAACGUAGGGGACGAAGCAGCGAGCUUGUUUUCGUUCUCGUCCGGAUGCGAGGUGCGAAGGAAAGAGGAGGGCCGAAGGGAGUCCGGUCGGCAGCAACACGUCGCAGAUGGGGGCUUCGGUAGUUUUUUUCGACCGGAGAAGGCGUGGGGUGCGAUGAGGAAAACGAACAGCCACAGCACCGCGGAUGGUAGGGUUUGGCAGUGAAGCACGUCGUGAAGGAAGGGAAAUGGUCUCCGGUAAUCUCCUUGCACCCUCUUCUUUCUGAUUUGGCAGCUAACACGAAGGAUGUUGAAACAGGCAGAAAAAGAUCGAUCAAAGAGGUUUUUUGUUUGCUAGCUUUGCUUGACGGGAAUGGAAACAAGAAAAUUGACUGUUGUGAUUGAACUCAUUGGCUUCAACCUAAGUUUUGAUGGAUGUGUUGAGUAUAUGGUUGGCGUUUUACUCAGUCUUUAUCAGCAGGAGAAUAAGAAAAGAAGAAGGCAUAUGUGGUUUUUUCCUUUACGUGUGGUUAAGUGCAAGUUGAAGAAUGGAAGAAACUUGAUGACUUUAGUCUUUAGUAUUGUGUACUUUGAUUGAAUUGUAGAAAAAAUCAUUUCAACUUGUUUCUGUGUUAGCUUGGUUAAGUUGGAUUGGGUAAGUAAUACUUUAAAUUUGGUUGUCAAUUUAAGUGAUGUAUUUUGGUUUUAACUUGCGAUCAAUUUGUUAAUCAAUAAGUAUGUAAUUUGGGUGUA